UUCCUGGAGGACUAGUGGUUAUGCCUCGGCACUCUCAUCGCCACAGUCCGGGUUUGAGUCCCGGCCAGGGUU
rnacentral:tRNA from 1 species